AGAGACCCGCAACAUGUGCAUGUGAAUACAUGGAAACACAUCUGAAGGAGCCAACACUGAAAAUCAAGGUCACCUCUGGAGAGAUGUGAAGGGGACCAGAAAUAAAGAUAUUAAGCUGAGAAAUCUUGUUCAUAUAAAUAAGUACAGGGGAACGGAAGAAGUUCUGGCAGAGUCACUCAAUACCACCCAAUCAUCCAGCAGGGAUCCAGACUCCACCAUUUGAAAUGUCAUCGGUCAUCAUGGCAGAGAGGAGACUCAUACACUGGCUCUUAAAUGUUUCCACCCAGAAGAGACACACUUUUGUUCAUCUUUUGUUGGCCAGAGCAAGUCACACGGCAAUGCCUAACUUCUAAAAGUUGACAAAGUACCUGGAAGCAGGAGAACAAAGA